AUUGAACGCUGGCGGAAUGCUUUACACAUGCAAGUCGAACGGCAGCACGGGGGCAACCCUGGUGGCGAGUGGCGAACGGGUGAGUAAUACAUCGGAACGUGCCCGGUCGUGGGGGAUAACGUAGCGAAAGUUACGCUAAUACCGCAUACGAUCUGAGGAUGAAAGCGGGGGACCUUCGGGCCUCGCGCGAUCGGAGCGGCCGAUGUCAGAUUAGGUAGUUGGUGGGGUAAAGGCCUACCAAGCCGACGAUCUGUAGCUGGUCUGAGAGGACGACCAGCCACACUGGGACUGAGACACGGCCCAGACUCCUACGGGAGACAGCAGUGGGGAAUUUUGGACAAUGGGCGCAAGCCUGAUCCAGCCAUUCCGCGUGCAGGACGAAGGCCUUCGGGUUGUAAACUGCUUUUGUAUGGAACGAAAAGGCUCUGGCUAAUACCUGGGGCUCAUGACGGUACCGUAAGAAUAAGCACCGGCUAACUACGUG
rnacentral:rRNA from 1 species